rnacentral:rRNA from 1 species
CGUAGGGUGCGAGCGUUAAUCGGAAUUACUGGGCGUAAAGUGUGCGCAGGUGGCCGCGCAAGUCCGAGUGUGAAAUCCCCGGGCUUAACUUGGGAAUUGCGCUCGAAACUACGUGGCUAGAGUGUGGCAGAGGAAGGUGGAAUUCCACGUGUAGCGGUGAAAUGCGUAGAGAUGUGGAGGAACACCGAUGGCGAAGGCAGCCUUCUGGGCCAACACUGACGCUCAUGCACGAAAGCGUGGGGAGCAAACAGGAUUAGAUACCCUGGUAGUCCACGCCCUAAACGAUGAUGACUAGUUGUUGGAGGAGUUAAAUCCUUUAGUAACGCAGCUAACGCGUGAAGUCAUCCGCCUGGGGAGUACGGUCGCAAGAUUA